rnacentral:rRNA from 1 species
CCUACGUGAGGCAGCAGUGGGGAAUAUUGGGCAAUGGGCGCAAGCCUGACCCAGCAACGCAGCGUGAAGGAAGAAGGCUUUCGGGUUGUAAACUUCUUUUAUCAGGGACGAAGCAAGUGACGGUACCUGAAGAAUACGCCACGGCUAACUACGUGCCAGCAGCCGCGGUAAUACGUAGGUGGCAAGCGUUAUCCGGAUUUACUGGGUUUAAAGGGCGUGUAGGCGGGAGUGCAAGUCAGAUGUGAAAACUAUGGGCUCAACCCAUAGCCUGCAUUUGAAACUGUACUUCUUGAGUGCUGGAGAGGCAAUCGGAAUUCCGUGUGUAGCGGUGAAAUGCGUAGAUAUACGGAGGAACACCAGUGGCGAAGGCGGAUUGCUGGACAGUAACUGACGCUGAGGCGCGAAAGCGUGGGGAGCAAACAGGAUUAGAUACCCCUGUAGUC